rnacentral:rRNA from 1 species
UUCAAAUUGAGAGUUUGAUCCUGGCUCAGGAUGAACGCUGGCGGCGUGCCUAAUACAUGCAAGUCGAACGCACAGCGAAAGGUGCUUGCACCUUUCAAGUGAGUGGCGAACGGGUGAGUAACACGUGGACAACCUGCCUCA